UUCCAGGGCACAGUGCAGACAGCAGAAUGAAACAGUCCUCCAGUUUCAGUCUGUGAAGAGAGGCCUAUUUGCUUCUCCUGAAGCUUUGGCCUGAGGGACAGCUUCUGGUUUGGCAAACGUCUACGAGCUGGCUGAGGCCAUGCAGCUGCUCUCUGGAGGAUAGCCCCCUGUGCUGGUGACGCUCUGCACAGGCCAGAAGCGCCGAGGGGCAGCCUGCUGAUCCAUGACUAGGAAAGCCGAGUUCCCUUCCUGCCAGUCAUGAGACUCUGAGGGUCACUGACAUUCUGGAGCACCACACCAGGAUCAGUCUGCAGCUCAAACUCUUCUCCAUGGAACUCCGCCUGAAAGCACAACUUCCCCUUCUUAUUUUCCUCUCUAACGGGUUGGAGAGUGCUGGGACCACUCCUGAAUAAAGCCCUUUACAGGA